rnacentral:rRNA from 1 species
UAAGGAAUCUUCCACAAUGGGCGAAAGCCUGAUGGAGCAACGCCGCGUGCAGGAUGAAGGCCCUCGGGUCGUAAACUGCUUUUAUGAGUGAAGAAUAUGACGGUAACUCAUGAAUAAGCACCGGCUAACUACGUGCCAGCAGCCGCGGUCAUACGUAGGGUGCAAGCAUUAUCCGGAGUGACUGGGCGUAAAGAGUUGCGUAGGCGGUUAGUAAAGCGAAUAGUGAAACCUGGUGGCUCAACCAUACAGACUAUUACUCGAACUCACUAACGCGAGAGUGGUAGAGGUAACUGGAAUUUCUUGUGUAAGAGUGAAAUCCGUAGAUAUAAGAAGGAACACCAAUGGCGUAGGCAGGUUACUGGACCAUUUCUGACACUAAGGCACGAAAGCGUAGGGAGCGAAC